GGAGAGAUGCUCGAGUGGUUGAAGAGGCACGCCUGGAAAGCGUGUAUACGCCAAAAGCGUAUCCGGGGUUCGAAUCCCCGUCUCUCCGC
rnacentral:tRNA from 1 species